rnacentral:rRNA from 1 species
GACGAACGCUGGCGGCGCGCUUAACACAUGCAAGUCGAACGGAAAGGCCUGCUUUCCCUUGUGGAUUGCGGGUACUCGAGUGGCGAACGGGUGAGUAACACGUGAGUGAUCUGCCCCCAACUUGGGUAUAAGCCUGGGAGACUGGGUCUAAUUCCCGAUAGGACUGCAGGGUGGUGCCUGUGGUGGAAAACGAUUUUCUAGUGGUUGGGGAUGAGCUCGCGGACUAUCAGCUUGUUGGUGGGGUAAUGGCCUACCAAGGCGGCGACGGGUAGCCGGCCUGAGAGGGUGGACGGCCACAUUGGGACUGAGAUACGGCCCAGACUCCUACGGGAGGCAGCAGUGGGGACUAUUGCACAAUGGGCGGAAGCCUGAUGCAGCGACGCCGCGUGGGGGAUGACGGCCUUCGGGUUGUAAACUCCUUUCGACCGCGAGGAAGCCACCUGGUUGGAAGGGUGGUGACGGUAGUGGUAGAAGAAGCACCGGCUAACUACGUG